UACGAAGGGGGCUAGCGUUGUUCGGAAUCACUGGGCGUAAAGCGCACGUAGGCGGAUCUUUAAGUCAGGGGUGAAAUCCCGAGGCUCAACCUCGGAACUGCCUUUGAUACUGGGGAUCUCGAGUCCGGGAGAGGUGAGUGGAACUGCGAGUGUAGAGGUGAAAUUCGUAGAUAUUCGCAAGAACACCAGUGGCGAAGGCGGCUCACUGGCCCGGUACUGACGCUGAGGUGCGAAAGCGUGGGGAGCAAGCAGG
rnacentral:rRNA from 1 species